UCGUGUGGAUUCCAAUGUUCUUCAAGAGCAGCGGACGCGAGCCGAUCCACCUGCCGGAUAAAUUUCCGCUGAAUAGAGAAGAAGAUAGAAGAAAAAAGAGACAAGAGAUUCAGGAAAUGUAGACUGAACACAGUCUAAAACCCUGUAAGAGAAGAGAGAACGAAAGGGAAGGAUUAAAACGAAUUAAUUGCCAAGAAACCGUGACGGAGGGUGUAUAUUAUUCCGGGAAACGCAAACUGAAGUGUUGUGAAUAGUGACCCUAUGGACGAUAUAACCAGGCCUGACCCAGGUGAGAGCCCUGGUGCACCCAGAUAAUGGACUGUGAAGCCCUGAAUAACAGAAGGCGUGAGAACAGCGACAGUGAUAGUGAAGCCUGAAAGAACCUUUGCUGCAGUUCCUGUGAAUGACAGCGUUGAAGCCAACACACGAGUGCAGAUCAACCACCCAUAAAGAAGGUAGCCCCCCAAAGCUCAAGAACAAUAGGUAUUAUUGUAAAACUUCCAAGAACUGCA